GCCGGCGUAGCUCAGUGGUAGAGCAGCUGUUUUGUAAACAGCUGGCCGUCGGUUCGAAUCCGUCCGCCGGCUCCA
rnacentral:tRNA from 1 species